rnacentral:rRNA from 1 species
AAUGCAAGUCGAGCGGACAGAUGGGAGCUUGCUCCCUGAUGUUAGCGGCGGACGGGUGAGUAACACGUGGGUAACCUGCCUGUAAGACUGGGAUAACUCCGGGAAACCGGGGCUAAUACCGGAUGCUUGUUUGAACCGCAUGGUUCAAACAUAAAAGGUGGCUUCGGCUACCACUUACAGAUGGACCCGCGGCGCAUUAGCUAGUUGGUGAGGUAACGGCUCACCAAGGCAACGAUGCGUAGCCGACCUGAGAGGGUGAUCGGCCACACUGGGACUGAGACACGGCCCAGACUCCUACGGGAGGCAGCAGUAGGGAAUCUUCCGCAAUGGACGAAAGUCUGACGGAGCAACGCCGCGUGAGUGAUGAAGGUUUUCGGAUCGUAAAGCUCUGUUGUUAGGGAAGAACAAGUACCGUUCAAAUAGGGCGGUACCUUGACGGUACCUAACCAGAAAGCCACGGCUAACUACGUGCCAGCAGCCGCGGUAAUACGUAGGUGGCAAGCGUUGUCCGGAAUUAUUGGGCGUAAAGGGCUCGCAGGCGGUUCCUUAAGUCUGAUGUGAAAGCCCCCGGCUCAACCGGGGAGGGUCAUUGGAAACUGGGGAACUUGAGUGCAGAAGAGGAGAGUGGAAUUCCACGUGUAGCGGUGAAAUGCGUAGAGAUGUGGAGGAACACCAGUGGCGAAGGCGACUCUCUGGUCUGUAACUGACGCU